ACUCAGGGAAUGAAAAGGAAGACGGGAUGUCUGACUGACAUGGCUGUCCAUUAGACCAAAUUGGUUAAUUGUCACAGUUGUGACAGUUAACGUAAAUGGAAACAUUCAUUCAGGGAACACAAGAUAGAAUUGGAAAACCAAGAAUCAGCCUGGAUCGCUAUUGCACAGACUGAGGAAUAGAACUAGUUCCAACCCUGGAUUUGGAAGGAGAUUGUAAAGAACCACACAUCCUACAAGGACUGAUUGUCAUCUCCCAAGUGUGCUUUCCAUCCACUGUAAUGUAAGAUAUCUUUACAUUUCUUUUUAGGUUUCAAAUUUAAGCAGUAUUAUUGUUUAGGCUUUUUCAUGCUGGUUCUGGCUUACUAACUCUUCUUGUCAAAGCUAACUAUUAAUUACUGAGUGGUAGUUUACCCGAUAUAACAUGGCUUUUGUGUGCAAAAAGCUUGAGAGAGAAGCAAGUUCAACCAAACCUCAACUUUGCUCACAUCUUGUUUGAGUAUGGGUUCCAGGCAGAUUAUAAUUUCCACACCAAAUCAAGUCGGCUUGGGAAAGCCGGCUGCCUUGUGUUUCUGCGCCGGAACUGCUUCAUGGGAUAGGUUAACCCAGAUAUGCUGCUUCAGCCAAUAUUCUUCAUGAAGUGCAUGCUGCCGUAAAAAGAGGAGUAUUGGGAUCGCUUGUAGCAACCUGGACUGUUGGUGGACACAGGAUCGUUACAUUUCGCUUGGCCAGGAUGGAUUUUACAGGCUUGUUUGGCUU